GUGGGGAAUUUUGGACAAUGGACGCAAGUCUGAUCCAGCCAUGCCGCGUGCGGGAAGAAGGCCUUCGGGUUGUAAACCGCUUUUGUCAGGGAAGAAAUCUUCUGGACUAAUACUCUGGGAGGAUGACGGUACCUGAAGAAUAAGCACCGGCUAACUACGUGCCAGCAGCCGCGGUAAUACGUAGGGUGCAAGCGUUAAUCGGAAUUACUGGGCGUAAAGCGUGCGCAGGCGGUUAUGCAAGACAGGUGUGAAAUCCCCGAGCUCAACUUGGGAACUGCACUUGUGACUGCAUAGCUAGAGUACGGUAGAGGGGAGUGGAAUUCCGCGUGUAGCAGUGAAAUGCGUAGAUAUGCGGAGGAACACCGAUGGCGAAGGCAGCUCCCUGGACCUGUACUGACGCUCAUGCACGAAAGCGUGGGGAGCAAACAGGAUUAGAUACCCCGGUAGUCC
rnacentral:rRNA from 1 species